rnacentral:misc_RNA from 1 species
CAGAACAGCCUACAAAACAACCUUCGAAAGUCACAGGCAGACAAGUUUAACAAGAGACAAAGGUUUUCAUUGGAUUUCUCUCCUGUGGAACAGAGGGAUAGUCAAAAGAGAUAUGAUUGGACUUUUGAUCAGUGAUCAAGAAUUGUUGCAGCUCAGGUUCUGCCUGUCAUUGUACAUGUACUGUAAAUCAAGAUUGAAUGAAUAUCAAGGUUAUUUAUUUAAUUGUUCAAAAUUGUUAUUGUAUGCAUUUGACAUACUUGUAUUUUAUCAUAAAAUCUAUUAAUAUAAAUGUACAAGUGUGUAAAAUGGAAACAGACUCUCGAGUUAUUGACAUUAUAAUACCGAAAUAUUUAUGCGUGCUCUUCAACAUUUGACAAUUGAUUAGAAAUAGAUUCAUUUGUGCAUUGAUCUUAGCAUAUCUAAUCCUGCACCCAGAUAAGGGGUGGUAUUUUAUCUCCAUGUUCACUUCAGUAAAUAUUAAGUGAGAUUGUGCAAUAGUUCAGAUUUUUAAAAAUUACAUCAAUACAUUUGAUGUUUUGGCUUUAUUUUAUCAACUGCAAUUUCCUUUUGAAGGAAAAAUAGGGCUGGGAAAAUCAUUUUCCAUAUACCGGUACGACCCGUUUUGUGUUCUUUGUAUUGUUAAAUGAGGUUUUGAAUUAUGGAGAUGCGUGUAUUAAUUUUAUUUCAUUCCCUGUAAUCAAAUUAACUCUUUAAAUACUGGCGUAUGGUACCAAUUAAUCUUAGCUAUCUGGUAAGCCACAAGAGCAAAGCUUCCAGUACAGUGGUACAUACAUGUCCUCUGUGGUCAGUCGAGAUUUGGUGGAUGGUGACUUCUCUUAUUGCAUGCAUAUCUUGCUGCUCGCAUUUCCUCAUAAAAAGUCAUAUUUGCAAUUUUUGCUUGCAAAAAAUUGUUAAAAUAUAUUUAUUUUUUUUUGUUACAUAUAUUUGUGAAGGUAACUUUACUCAAAUUAUUGUGUGCUAUAUCAAAUGUAGUGUCAGUGAAUAAUUGGUUCAACAGUUUAACAAUAAUUUUUGUAAAUAUUUAUUUUAAUUUUUGCAUGAUCAAGGUUAGAAUGUGAAUGGUAUGAAAAUAUAUGCUGUGAUAAAGGAUCAUUGUUAGGCUGUCUGAAAUAUUCUACCCAAAUGUUUAUAAAACAAAGGGAAUACAAAAAUUCAAAUUAAUUGAAAUACACCUGUACAUGCGAAGUGAAAAUUUCAGUACCAUCAAUAUAAUUUGGCGAAUUGUACAGCUACCAGUCCAUUUUGGUUAAAUUGUCUCGGUGUGUAACCCAAAUAAAUGUUCUAAAUGGC